rnacentral:rRNA from 1 species
CAGCAGCCGCGGGAAUACGGAGGGCGCGAGCGUUACCCGGAUUUACUGGGCGUAAAGGGCGUGUAGGCGGCCUGGGGCGUCCCAUGUGAAAGGCCACGGCUCAACCGUGGAGGAGCGUGGGAUACGCUCAGGCUAGAGGGUGGGAGAGGGUGGUGGAAUUCCCGGAGUAGCGGUGAAAUGCGCAGAUACCGGGAGGAACGCCGAUGGCGAAGGCAGCCACCUGGUCCACUUCUGACGCUGAGGCGCGAAAGCGUGGGGAGCAAACCGGAUUAGAUACCCCCGUAGUCCCUGUCUCUUAUAC